CCUACGGGAGGCAGCAGUGAGGAAUAUUGGUCAAUGGACGAGAGUCUGAACCAGCCAAGUAGCGUGAAGGAUGACUGCCCUAUGGGUUGUAAACUUCUUUUAUAUGGGAAUAAAAUGUUCCACGUGUGGGAUUUUGUAUGUACCAUAUGAAUAAGGAUCGGCUAACUCCGUGCCAGCAGCCGCGGUAAUACGGAGGAUCCGAGCGUUAUCCGGAUUUAUUGGGUUUAACGGGAGCGUAGGUGGAUUGUUAAGUCAGUUGUGAAAGUUUGCGGCUCAACCGUAAAAUUGCAGUUGAAACUGGCAGUCUUGAGUACAGUAGAGGUGGGCGGAAUGCGUGGUGUAGCGGUGAAAUGCUUAGAUAUCACGAAGAACUCCGAUUGCGAAGGCAGUUCACUGGACUGCAACUGACACUGAGGCUCGAAAGUGUGGGUAUCAAACAGGAUUAGAUACCCGUGUAGUC
rnacentral:rRNA from 1 species